CCCUUAGAUGUUCUGGGCUGCACGCGCGCUACACUGAUGCGAUCAACAAGUUUUUCCUAUGUCGAUAGACACGGGUAAUCUUUUGAACUCGCAUCGUGAUGGGGAUAGAUUAUUGUAAUUAUUAAUCUUCAACGAGGAAUUCCUAGUAGGUGCAAAUCAUCAGUUUGCAUCGAUUACGUCCCUGCCCUUUGUACACACCGCCCGUCGCUCCUACCGAUUGAGUGGUCCGGUGAGGCUUUGGGAUCUGAGCGGAAAGAGCGUUUCGCUGUUUCUGCCCGGAAAACUCAGUCGAACCUUAUCAUUUAGAGGAAGGAGAAGUCGUAACA
rnacentral:rRNA from 1 species